rnacentral:rRNA from 1 species
CACGUAGGGCGCAAGCGUUGUCCGGAUUUAUUGGGCGUAAAGAGCUCGUAGGCGGUGUGUCACGUCGGCCGUGAAAACCUGCAGCUUAACUGUGGGCGUGCGGUCGAUACGGGCAUCACUGGAGUUCGGGCAGGGGAGACUGGAAUUCCUGGUGUAGCGGUGGAAUGCGCAGAUAUCAAGGAGGAACACCGGUGGGCGAAGGCGGGUCUCUGGGCAGUAAACUGACGUGGGAGGAG